rnacentral:rRNA from 1 species
UACGAAGGGGGCUGAGCGUUGUUCGGAAUUACUGGGCGUAAAGGGCGCGUAGGCGGUGUGUCAAGUCAGGCGUGAAAGCCCCGGGCUCAACCUGGGAACCGCGCUUGAGACUGGCACGCUAGAGUUCGGGAGAGGAUGGUGGAAUUCCCAGUGUAGAGGUGAAAUUCGUAGAUAUUGGGAAGAACACCGAUGGCGAAGGCAGCCAUCUGGACCAACACUGACGCUGAGGCGCGAAAGCGUGGGGAGCAAAGCAGG